GAAUAACAAAGUUUACAUAAAUAAUUAUGUAUCAUAGGGAAACGGGAAAAAAGCAUAAACUUUCAUCACAACAGAGUCUCAUCAGUGGAGGUUCUUGGACCCAAGUUCCAUACAUUUUUGCCCAUUGUCAUUGCUAUUAAAUUCCAUCAUAAUUUGUAUAUCGAAAGGGCUACUUCCAAUGUUAUUUCGCAUCCAGCAUGUUGGGUAACCAAUUACGGUGUUUAUCCAACAUGCUGGGUUAGGUCAGGUGGCUGUCAUCUCAGUCAGUCUGACAUGUCGGGUCAUCGACCCAUUUUUGUAUCGUGUUAAUAACAAUAUAUGAAAUUUUGUUAAAUGAGUAUUGAAAUUCAUUGUUUAAGAAUUUGUCGGUUAAUAAAACAUCACGUCUGCAUCCUCAGGGGGUAGGCAGUGGUAUACAUAUCUACUCGCCAGCUCGCAGGAAACUGUUUAAGCCGGCUAAGUAGAAUUAAUGUGAACGUGAAUGUCGAUUCAAACAAAAACUACAUUUUUAAUUUAGUCUGUUUUCCACCUAGCUCUAUCUCCUUCGUACACCCGUCGUAAGAAGAGGACAGCGUUAUUUUCAGAGCUAUAAGACUGAAAUAAAAUUAAGUUUUGGAAAUAUAAGAACAAGGUACUGGUCGUUUUAAAUUUACGCGGUUAUUAUCAUAAUUAAAACACAUAAUAACGGGUUCUUACCGCGUUUAAAAUAGGGACAUGAGACGAUAUUUCGACACUGUUGCAAGUACCAUGAUCACGGGAUGACUGAUGAGAUUGGAGUGGAGUAGGUAGAUCCAUAAUUUUCUACGGGCAGACAUAUCUGUCUACCCUCUUUCUUUGCCGCUUGUUUAUGUAUUUGAUAUCGGAAUGUUCGAAACCAUCUGAACUCGCACCAAACUUACUACGACAAACCGCACUCACUGUGUCCUCACGUUUUGUCACCACAAAUUAUGGAUCUACCUACUCCACUCCAAUCUCAUCAGUCAUCCCGUGAUCAUGGCACUUGCAACAGUGUCGUAAUAUCGGCAGUGUCAUAUACCUAUUUUAAACGCGUUAAGAACCCGUUAUUAUGUGUUUUAAUUAGGAACUUGUCGUCGGCAUUCGUCCACGCGGGACGGUGGGCCAAAUUUGGAACAUCUCAACUCUUCGUGACAAUGAAUUAUUUCAUAAUGAUUUUACAUUAAAAUGAAAAGGUUAUAACACGAUACAAAACCUAGGUGAAUAAUGAAUACGCGUCUCAGUUGGAACCUUGUCACAAUUGUCAUCGGCCAUUGUCUUGUAGGCGCUUUUGUCGUGCGAGGUCGAUGACCGACUGCACCAAUGCCGUCAAGAUGGUUCUAUGAAGGGAUGUUUCCUAUUGAAACUCAAAAAUCAUUGUACCAAGGUCCGUCUAAAUUAACCCGGUCGGGAAUCGAACUCACGUGCGGUGGUAAGAUGUCUUUAGCGUAUAGUGGUGCUGAUACCAGUACACACCAUCUAAUUUUAUUUCAAGUUAUAUCUGUCAUUUUCUUAUCCGCCGAAAAGGAAAGGGACGGGUAAUCGACAGGCAUAAUAUUUAAUGAACACACGUCAAGUUUAGGCAGGAAUUUUAAAAGCUAUCCCUAAUUUAAUAUUGUCCAAUAUCCCGGCAGAAUUAAGUUGACAGCACACGUCAAACGGAUUGCAUAUGACUGACAUGUCUAUUUCAUUCGCCCGGGUUAUUCUUUGAUUCUAAAAUUAUCGGUUGUCAGUCAUCCGUCCCUUUCCGUUUCGGCGGAUAAGAAAAUGACGGGUAUAACUUAAAAUAAAAUUAGGAGGUGUCUGCAGGAAUCGGGGCCAUUGUCCAGUUAAAAUUCGUGAUAAAUUGCUAUACAAUGUGGACCAACGUGGAGUGUAUCCCGUCUGAAGGAUGAGUUACGAAAAAGAAAGCCAUCAGUUGGAAAAAGGCAGUUUUGAUCGAAAAUGAGCUUUUCAGGGUGUUAGUAGCAUCGUAACGAAAACUUUGAGGGGUGAUUGAGGCCAUGAUUCUGAGUUGAUAUCAAGUGUAAUUUUCCAUCGCAAAAGUAUAGAAUUGAAAAUAAUAGUAAAAAACUAAAAAAAAAAUAUGAAUUUUGCGACGAAAAAUUCCACUUGAUAUUAACUCAGAAUCAUGGUCUGAAUCAUCCCCCUGAGUAUUCGUUACGAUGUCACUAACACCCUGUAACACCUUGUAACACUAUGAUUUUGCAGUUAAUCGCUUCGCAAAGGGUUAUAGUGUAAAAAUAUAACCAAAAACAAUAUGUUUGUUUACUCAAACAGUAUGGGGAACUGUCAAAAUUUAAGAACACUCAACAGUUAAUUAAGGCCACAUCGAAGCAAUUCUUCUAUAGAAGCAAUAUUGUAAUUUGAAAUUUGCGCAUAUAAAAGUAAGUGCGCAAAGCAAACAAAUGUCAAAAUAGUAAUUUGGUAUUAUAUUAUAAUGUAUGUACACCAUUAACACAUGUUUAUGGAACACGAUGUUCGUGCGUCACCCAACAGGGUCCACAUAAUAUCAGCGUCGUGGUUCACGCCGCGACUUGUGCUGAGUGAGGCCCUUUUAUCUCAGGACGUCCACCACCACCUUAUGAUCAUUUCGACAAACAUCCGUCUUGCUUUUUUGUAAUUGUUUUAGUGGAAAUUUGAUAUGAUGUUGUUGGCUUUUUUGUGUGUGUGGCGCCCUUUUAUAAUAAACUAUUGCUUUUUUAGGUGAAUUGCUUCGAUGUGGGCUUUUUAACCCUCCUGAUGGGAGUAAUAGGCAGUUUUUAUUCUCAUUGGUUCUUUACACCCGUACUCUAAGAUAUUAACUCCAACUUUCCGUGACUCCGUUGUCAGUUGAGGUGCCCGGAAGACCUCGAACUUAGCUCAAAAUCUGUAUUCUUAGGGUGGUAUUAAUAAACUUAACUCAGCUUUGAGACCGCCCCCAAGAUCAUGUCAAUGUGACAGUUCUCAUAUAAAAACAUGGACUUGAGCAUGAUCUUGAGGGCAGUCUCAGCUGAGAUUAGUUUAUUAAUACCACCCUUAGACGUCGCCGCAACCGUAACUAAUUUACUCCAGUGAGCCAUGACAUCAUUAUUUUCGUAUUAUUAUGUUGGCAGUAUGAUAUGUUCGAGGACACCCACAUCCCCGAGAAAUGCAUUUUCGGAGGUAUGUGACCUAACCUGUAUUGGGCUGGUUUUCCCUUCGCGGGUUGGAAGGUCAGACAGGCAGUCGCUUCUGUAAAAAACCGGACCUGUCAAAUCGUCAGGUUAGGUAAGCGGACCCUGUGGAAAACGGGACAAUGUUAAGGGUAUGAUAUGAUAUGAGGAGCUCGGUGGCGCAGCGGUAAACGCGCUCGGUCUGCGAUUGUUGAAGUUAAGCAACUUUCGCAAAGGCCGGUCAUAGGAUGGGUGGCCCACAAAAAAAAAGUUUUCAUCUCGAGCUCCUCCGUGCUUCGGAAGGCACGUUAAGCCGUUGGUCCCGGCUGCAUUAGCAGUCGUUAAUAACCACCAAUCCGCACUGGGCCCGCGUGGUGGUUUAAGGCCCGAUCUCCCUACCCAUCCAUAGGGAAGGCCCGUGCCCCAGCAGUGGGGACGUUAAUGGGCUGAUGAUGAUUAGUAUGACAUGCUCGACUCCAGUGAGUAAAGUCCUCAAGUCGAGGUCGUAAAUGUCAACUUAGAAUACCAAAAUGCUCAGCUGAGGACGAGUGGAGGAAGUUUCGAGUGAACGUUCACGAGUACUAAUAUGUAUACAAUUUAAAACCAUGUCACAUUAACCGUUUUGACAAAUUAAACCAUAAAUCUCGUUAAAUAUCAAAUAUGAUAGUGCGACAGGGUUCUAAAGUGGGUACAUGAUAUUGCUCAUGACUGAACAUCUUAGAAUGCGGGAAUCAAAGUAUCAGGUCAAGACGUAUGAAGACAUAGUAUUUAUGUGCAUCGGAUUGUAACUAAUUAUAACAGACUAGUUUCCAACCACUCAAAUCAGUUACUUUUUCACAAACGUCAAUACACGAAAUUACUAUGGAAUUUGUGUGAAAAAGCACACUGUGACGUCAUAGAAAGACGUGACACAAUGUCGCACUUAUUAUAACAUUUUUCUUUAUUAAAAUUCAUAAAUAAGUUGAAUAGAAAAAGGAAAACGUUUUCUGUCACCUUUAGAUCUGUCUUUAUUUAGUAAACAUAAUUUCAUAAUUUAUCUUUGACCUAAGAAACUGGCAAGUUAGCAAAGAUUUUUCGGUUGUCGAAAUAAAAGCGACCGGUGAACGGAACACGGUAUUUGACUGGGUCAAAGAUAAAUUAUAAAAUGCUAAUCUAGAAAUAAGGCACCCAACAGGGUCCACAUAAUACCAGCGUCGUGGUUCACGCCGCGACUUGUGCUGAGUGAGGCCCUUUUAUCUCAGGGCGUCCACUUCCACCUUAUGAUCACUCUAAUUAACAUCCUCUACCUAAUUGUUUUGUGAAAAUUUUCAAGUGAUGUUAUUGUCUUUUCUUUCUGUGUGGCGUCCUUUUAUAAUUAACGAUUUCUAUUCUAUUCUAAAUAGAAGCCAAUGUAAGAUAAUCAAAAAUCAAUCUCAUUUUACUUUUCGAUUUUUAUUUAUGAAUUAACGUCACAGGACAGUAUUUCCGUACAAAUUCCAAAGAAAGCUUUCGUUUUGACGUUUCGUAAAAAGUAUCCCAUUUGACUAGGUUGUCAAGUCAACCCGCGAAAAGAAAACCAGCCCGAUACAAGUUAGGUUACACACCUCCGAAAAUGCAUUUCUCGGGAAUGUGGGUUUCCUCACGAUGUUUUCCUUCACCGUUGACCACGUGAUAAUCAUUUAUGACGCAAACAUGUAUUCGAAAUUCUACAAUCGUUGCUUUAGGCCUGUGCUGGAUUCGAACCUGCGACUUCAAAGUGAGAGGCAAGCGUUCUACCAACUGGGCUACCACGGCUGGCUUAUACAAACCGAUGCAUAUAAAUGUGAAGUUAGGCUAAUAGUUUAAGUAUGUAAAUAUAUUUUUAUAAGGAAGUAAAUUAAUUGUUUUUUAUUUGGCAUAAUAAUGUUUUAUAAAAUGCCUGGUUCAUCAAUAUUUAAGGUUUAGAUGAGGAAUAAAUGAGGUAAAUAUUGAAA